rnacentral:rRNA from 1 species
UACGUAGGGGGCAAGCGUUGUCCGGAAUCAUUGGGCGUAAAGAGCGCGUAGGCGGUCCGAUAAGUCGGUUGUGAAAACUGGGGGCUCAACCCUCAGAGGCCGACCGAUACUGUCGGGCUAGAGUCCGGAAGAGGCGAGUGGAAUUCCUGGUGUAGCGGUGAAAUGCGCAGAUAUCGAGAGGAACACCUGCGGCGAAGGCGGGUUGCUGGGCUGAUACUGACGCUGAGGCGCGAAAGCCAGGGGAGCGAACGGG